rnacentral:misc_RNA from 1 species
AUUACGCACAAAACAAAGAUCAUACAAAGAGAGAGUAGAAGAUAUCGA